rnacentral:rRNA from 1 species
UACGUAGGGGGCAAGCGUUGUCCGGAUUUAUUGGGCGUAAAGAGCGUGUAGGCGGCUUCACAAGUCCGCUGUGAAAGUCGGGGGCUCAACCCUCGGAUGCCGGUGGAUACUGUCGGGCUUGAGUACGGAAGAGGCGAGUGGAAUUCCAGGUGUAGCGGUGAAAUGCGUAGAUAUCUGGAGGAACACCGGUGGCGAAGGCGGCAUCCUGGACCAAUUCUGACGCUGAGGAGCGAAAGCCAGGGGAGCAAACGGG